UGGGGAAUCUUGGACAAUGGGGGCAACCCUGAUCCAGCGACGCCGCGUGGGUGGUAAGGCCUUCGGGUUGUAAAGCCCUUUCACCGGGGAAGAUGAUGACAUUACCCGGAGAAGAAGCGCCGGCUAACUCCGUGCCAGCAGCCGCGGUAAUACGGAGGGUGCGAGCGUUGUCCGGAUUUAUUGGGUUUAAAGGGUGCGUAGGCGGCUUAUUAAGUCAGUGGUGAAAGGUAUCAGCUUAACUGAUGAAGUGCCAUUGAAACUGAUAGGCUUGAGUACAGACGAGGUAGGCGGAAUUUAUGGUGUAGCGGUGAAAUGCAUAGAUACCAUAAAGAACACCGAUAGCGCAGGCAGCUUACUAGACUGAGACUGACGCUGAGGCACGAAAGCGUGGGGAGCGAACAGGAUUAGAUACCCGCGUAGUCC
rnacentral:rRNA from 1 species